AAAAACUCCGGUGGUAUACGAUGGAUCCGCGUCUGAUUAGCCAGUUGGCGGGGUAACGGCCCACCAAAGCGACGAUCAGUAGCCGGCCUGAGAGGGUGAACGGCCACAUUGGGACUGAGACACGGCCCAAACUCCUACGGGAGGCAGCAGUGGGGAAUAUUGCACAAUGGGGGAAACCCUGAUGCAGCGACGCCGCGUGAGUGAAGAAGUAUUUCGGUACGUAAAGCUCUAUCAGCAGGGAAGAAAGAAAGUCCUUUGGACUUUGGACGGUACCUGACCAAGAAGCCCCGGCUAACUACGUGCCAGCAGCCGCGGUAAUACGUAGGGGGCAAGCGUUAUCCGGAUUUACUGGGUGUAAAGGGAGCGUAGACGGCAGCGCAAGUCUGGAGUGAAAUGCCGGGGCCCAACCCCGGAACUGCUUUGGAAACUGUGCAGCUCGAGUGCAGGAGAGGUAAGCGGAAUUCCUAGUGUAGCGGUGAAAUGCGUAGAUAUUAGGAGGAACACCAGUGGCGAAGGCGGCUUACUGGACUGUAACUGACGUUGAGGCUCGAAAGCGUGGGGAGCAAACAGGAUUAGAUACCCUGGUAGUCCACGCCGUAAACGAUGAUUACUAGGUGUCGGGGAGCCAGGGCUCUUCG
rnacentral:rRNA from 1 species